CGGUUGUAUUUAUGUAAUUAUUACACCUGAGACAAUUGCCGUGCGUAACUGAAUAAGAUGUCACAUUGUAUGUGCAUAUAAAUGAAAAAAAAUAAAAAAGUAAGAACUACUGAAUAGUAGUAUCUCUUAUGUAUUGGCGUUAAUCAUGCUCACUUUCAAUUAUGAAGUCACGAAGCGAUUAACGCUUCGAUCAGGAAGGAGAAGGUUUCUGACAGGAAAGGUUUACAAGCAUUUGAUGAAUUUUGAAAAGUAAGAUUGGAUACAUAGAAAUGAGAAAAGCAUUGACGAUGGUUUGGAGGAAAUUGUAUUGUAAGGAUUGAAUACGUUGGAAGUUGGAAGGUUUGGUGUUGUAUAUGCAAAUGGUCUCCUCAGAAUUGUGAUAUCAACGAGGCAGUAAAUAAACUAAACUAGCGCGAGUGGGAUACGAAGUAGUAGAUGGGACAGUGGUGAUUCUGCUAAGGGUUUGCAGUUUCCGGUUGAGAUCUUGAUGAUUGGAAAGGAUGGCCGUAUCAUCCUCAUAGCUGGUAAGACUAAUUUCGGAAAGGAUAGGAAAGUCUGCGGUGUAUUCUGUGCUUGGGAUGGAUCCUUCUCAAUGAAGGAAGACUGAACAAGAUAUCACUAUGAAGGAGUGUUGCACCUGGGUACACUACAAGAACAAAUGGUAAACUCA